rnacentral:rRNA from 1 species
AUGGCGAAGAGCGGCACGGAGGAGUGGCGUCGCAACGCCGACACGCACAAGAUGAGCCCGGAGGAGGUCCGGGCCGCGGGGGUGGAGGCGUCCAUGCGCCCGCCGGGCCGUGGCGGCGGCGCCGGGGAGGUCCUGCACCAGCGAGGCGGCCGCCUGCCGUACGGGCCCGGGACGAUGGCGCUGAUGGGGUUCGGCAUCGUCGGCGCCAUCGGCUACCUGGUGCUGUACCAGAAGGCGAGGCCCGGCACGCCGGCCACGGAGGUCGCCAAGGUGGCCGUCGGACACGGCGACCCUGCCGUCGGCCGCGAGGUCCAGAAGCGCCAAGACGAAGCGCAGCCGCCGCCACCGCCACGCGAAGGGAAGUAG